GAGGCAGAACAUUUUUUUACAUCUAGGCUGAGGCUUGUUACCAGCAGGAACAUGGAGCACUCUCUGUCAGUGCUCCAGAGACAGAAUUGUCCUGCGAGCCUUCUGACCAACUACCUUUCAUCUCUCCAGAGCACAGAGAAGUGAGUCUGCUGGGCAAUGGAACUCUAGAGCAGUACAUCCAAAAAACCUUCCACCCUGUUGUCAGCUAUCUGCAGAUAGUUCCCUGAUGGAUGCAACUAUCAAGGCUUUCAAAGGCCACAUUUUGGGGGUGACCAAAUGCAUAAAGUUUUGUAUGAACUCAUUUUCAUUUUGUUAGAUUACAAAAUACCCUUUUCAUGUCAUGUUCGUCUUCACACUAACUUCUGUGGUAACUUUUAAACAAAGACGACACAUAGGCUAAUUGGGGUUUUGACAUCAGAUGUUGUUCAGAGCUGAUAUGAGUGGUCAAAAGACCAAUUACUGAAAAACAUAAUUGGGCAGCCUGUGUGAACGCAGCCUUAGUUUAUGCUUCAAAAGGCCUAGAGUAAAAGAGUCAUGUCUAGAUGAAUACAUUUUUAUUCAUGUAUAUGAGAUAUAUCUAUCCCUGACCAGAUUGAAGAAUGGGACAAGUAGACAAAGUGAAUGUCUGAUUGUCUGUAGCAUAAUUUGAGUGGUUACAUACAAUACAUGUUGACAGAAUGGCUGCGAGACAGUGUUGCUGUACUCCAGGUAAGACCCUUUCUUUCAGUACCACGGAAGGGCAUAGUUUACAUUCAGGCUGCUUUGAAGAAGUGUCACCAUCCAGGCCCAUGUCACAUCCUCUGAUGGGGAGAUGAAAUGCAUUUAUGUACCUUUCAUCACCAAAGCCAUGUUAGUGUUUACUGCACAUGUUGCUGAACAAUUCAACCCUUUUGUUAGUGUCAUUGAUAUGGAAAUUCACAUUCCGUUAAUAAGCAUUGACUAAUACCUCUAGGGCGGAGGUAGGCAACCCUUUUCCUGGAGUGCCGCAGGUGCUUAAUGUUUCUGAUUAAACUGACCUGGAAGACAAUCACUGAACUGAUAAGUUAGCUCAGUUGGUCAGUACGGAUUUCAGUACAUAGAACGUUCAAUUGAACGGAAGUGGUGCUGUACUGAAUGACCAGUUUAAAAAUGGGAAAGGCUUGGGUUGUCGGUUCAAAGUCUACCGCUGCCCUUUAAAUGUGUUGCUUCAAGCCACACACCCACUGAACGGCGCAAACGUAUGUCUAAGAACAUACAAGAACGUUUUGUUAAAAUGUCAUUCAGUACAAACCGUUCCACAAUGUAGCAAAUGAUUAAGUGAACUAUAGCCUAGAUGGAACAAAAUUCUUCAUUACCUGGGCUCCCGAGUGGCGCAGAUGUCUCAGGCACAGCAUCUCUUUGUGCUUGACCCUGGUUCUAUCCCGGGCUUGUAUCACAACCGGCCGGGAUCGGGAGUCCUAUAGGGCGUCGCACGUCGUUAGGGGAGGAUUUGGCCAGGGUAGGCUGUCAUUGUAAAAUAAGAAUUUGUUCUUAACUGACUUGACUUAAAUAAAAAGGUUUGCCUGCUCUAGGGUCCUGUGGUGAAGCGACUACUGUGCAAGGUAUUGGGCAACAGCUUUCUUCCAGGGUCCAUAUUCACAAAACAUCUCAGAGAGUGAUCUAAGAUAACCUCCUUGUCAAUGUAAUUGUAGUCAAUGUGAAGACAAUCCUAACAUCAGUACUCCUACUCUACUCUGAGAUUCUUUGUGAAUUUGGUCCCUGGCCUGUUAACACUGCACCUGAAAUGCAACAAAAAUAUGAAUAAUUAGCUCAGUAACUUAGCGAACUAGCCAAUGAAACACUUGUAAAUGUGC